AUACGUAGGGUGCGAGCGUUAAUCGGAAUUACUGGGCGUAAAGCGUGCGCAGGCGGUGAUGUAAGACCGAUGUGAAAUCCCCGGGCUUAACCUGGGAACUGCAUUGGUGACUGCAUCGCUGGAGUAUGGCAGAGGGGGGUAGAAUUCCACGUGUAGCAGUGAAAUGCGUAGAGAUGUGGAGGAAUACCGAUGGCGAAGGCAGCCCCCUGGGCCAAUACUGACGCUCAUGCACGAAAGCGUGGGGAGCAAACAGGAUUAGAUACCCUGGUAGUCCACGCCCUAAACGAUGUCAACUGGUUGUCGGGCCUUCAUUGGCUUGGUAACGUAGCUAACGCGUGAAGUUGACCGCCUGGGGAGUACGGUCGCAAGAUUAAA
rnacentral:rRNA from 1 species